CGGUAGCUAAUACCGCAUAACGUCGCAAGACCAAGGAGGGGGACCUUCGGGCCUCUUGCCAUCGGAUGUGCCCAGAUGGGAUUAGCUAGUAGGUGGGGUAACGGCUCACCUAGGCGACGAUCCCUAGCUGGUCUGAGAGGAUGACCAGCCACACUGGAACUGAGACACGGUCCAGACUCCUACGGGAGGCAGCAGUGGGGAAUAUUGCACAAUGGGCGCAAGCCUGAUGCAGCCAUGCCGCGUGUAUGAAGAAGGCCUUCGGGUUGUAAAGUACUUUCAGCGGGGAGGAAGGGAGUAAAGUUAAUACCUUUGCUCAUUGACGUUACCCGCAGAAGAAGCACCGGCUAACUCCGUGCCAGCAGCCGCGGUAAUACGGAGGGUGCAAGCGUUAAUCGGAAUUACUGGGCGUAAAGCGCACGCAGGCGGUUUGUUAAGUCAGAUGUGAAAUCCCCGGGCUCAACCUGGGAACUGCAUCUGAUACUGGCAAGCUUGAGUCUCGUAGAGGGGGGUAGAAUUCCAGGUGUAGCGGUGAAAUGCGUAG
rnacentral:rRNA from 1 species